rnacentral:rRNA from 1 species
GAUGAACGCUGGCGGCGUGCUUAGUACAUGCAAGUCGAGCGAACGGACGAGAAUCUUGCUUUUCUGAUGUUAGCGGCGGACGGGUGAGUAACACGUGGAUAACCUACCUAUAAGACUGGGAUAACUUCGGGAAACCGGAGCUAAUACCGGAUAAUAUUUUGAACCGCAUGGUUCAAAAGUGAAAGACGGUCUUGCUGUCACUUCUAGAUGGAUCCGCGCUGCAUUAGCUAGUUGGUAAGGUAACGGCUUACCAAGGCAACGAUGCAUAGCCGACCUGAGAGGGUGAUCGGCCACACUGGAACUGAGACACGGUCCAGACUCCUACGGGAGGCAGCAGUAGGGAAUCUUCCGCAAUGGGCGGAAGCCUGACGGAGCAACGCCGCGUGAGUGAUGAAGGUCUUCGGAUCGUAAAACUCUGUUAUUAGGGAAGAACAUAUGUGUAAGUAACUGCGCACAUCUUGACGGUACCUAGUCAGAAAGCCACGGCUAACUACGUG